UAGCUCAGCUGGUUAGAGCGCACGCCUGAUAAGCGUGAGGUCGAUGGUUCGAGUCCAUU
rnacentral:tRNA from 2 species